GGUCAGGUAGCUCAGCUGGUAGAGCGCUGGUCUGAAAAACCAGAGGUCGGCAGUUCGACCCUGCCCCUGACCA
rnacentral:tRNA from 1 species